CUCCGUAUCCACAGUCAAGCCAAACUGGCCGCUCCUUCUCUGUCCGCGCCGCCCACUUCCACCCGAUUCAUGCGAGUACCAGGCAUUCAGUAUCCUCUUAAAUUUCAACUAAGCCGCUCAUGGCUCCGCAGAGCCACCAUCCUCAUCCGCGCCCUAUCAUCGGAAUCCUUGCCGAGCCAAUCUCGUGGAGGCCUUCCUCGCUUCCACUCCCAUAUUCUCCCGUCAUCCAAGGGCGAGAUUGUCCGAGUUGAAGGAGACGAGUUCUGGCACAUGACAAAGGUCCUGCGACUGGGCUUGAACGCCAGGGUGGAGCUCUUUAACGGAACAGGAGGUAUAGUGGAAGGUUGUAUACAGAGUAUUGAUAGGAAUGCUUCAGUUGUUGUUGCCUUGGAGGAGCCAAAAGUUCUAUGUCCUAAUGGUAUUCAAUGGCAUAUAUUUACAGCUUUUGGCAGCUUAAAAGGGGGUCGUGCGGAUUGGCUUAUUGAGAAAUGCACAGAAUUGGGGGCCAACAGUAUAACUCCUCUUCUAUCUGAAAGAUCUCCUUCAAUUACAGAUAAUCGUGUAGACAGGUUGGAACGUGUCAUUUUAGCUUCCAUCAAGCAAUGUAAGCGUCUGCAUAAGAUGGCUUUCAACCAUCCAAUGAAGCUUAAAAAAUUUCUUCCUUUUGUUUCCCAGUCAAAACUCUCUUUCCUAGCAGCUGCAGAUUCUACUCCUUUUUUAAGUAUAUUAUCCUCAUCAAGAGCGGCCAACAGUGGCCUUCUUAUAGUUGGACCUGAAGGAGAUUUUACGGAGGAGGAGGUGAAGUUGAUGGUGGAUGCAGGUGCAACUCCUGUGGGCCUGGGCCCAUGCCGCCUUCGAGUAGAGACGGCUACCAUUGCAAUGCUGUCUACUGUGAUGCUGUGGUCUGAUGCCCUUAAAUUGGAGACUUGAUGAAAGUUUUGCGCACAGUAGCUCCCCAUCUAAUCGUAGGCCUUCACUAAAGUUGAGCAUUUCCUUGAGCUUGCUUUCUUCAUCAAUUGUGGAAUUGAGCCUCCAAUAUGGAGGGAGCUAGCCAGGCCCCCGAUGUCAGAAGCUCGGUUCUAUAUGUUAUACACCCUCCUCACUGUAAAAUAUGGGCCGCCUUAGGUACUAUUGAGCUCUGCUCAUAUACCCUCUCCAAUCCAAAGCAAUCACUGGACUGCCCUCCUAAUGCAAGUGAACAUGUCUUGCAGGCAAGUUGCUCCGCGUUUCUCUAUAUUUAUUUUGAUUCGAGUAUCAUGCUUGUGCAACCGAUAGAAAUCUCGAUGCAUAUAACAAAUUAGUAAAAAAAAAAAUUCUUUAUUAGCGUAAUAAAAUAUUAAGAGAUGGUAAUGAUAUUGCAUCUUACUAAACUCAAACUACUUAAGCCACAUGUCACACAAUUCCUUCGGGAUUUUCUUCCAAGAGACAUAUGAAGCAUCAAAUCUACUCCGUAUGAUAUCCCAUAUCUUGUACGUGGGCUGCUUUGAUGAAUAAAACCUACACAAAAUAUUUAGUUGAAAAAGAUUAUUUCUCAAAUAUAUGUAUAAUAUAAAACAUACACAUUUAUGUAUGUGUCACCCUCAGGCUGAAUCAACAUGCAGCCAUUUGCAGUCGGCGCUGCGGCAGCCUACGUGGAAAGUCCAACUGUAGUCGGGGUAGAAGGUCCAGUUGCGUAGGGCUAAGGGGGUGGUGGGUAGUAAAAUGAUGGAACAUAUGUUGGAUAUAGAUAAGUAGUAGGAAAUUCCUAAGAAGAUGGUGAGGGGUAGAACGGAUAAAAAGGGAGCCAUUUGCGUAAGAGCUGAUGAUAAAAAGGAUCUGCAGACUAAAAUGGGGGACUUCCCGCAGGAGGUGUAGUUAAAGGGGCUAUGUUGGGUAUGAGUGACAGGCUGUGAAAAAUAGUUGAGUUGCCAGUUGUAUAAGUAAUGACACGCAUGUAUAGUUCUAUAAUUUUUUGGGAUAUAGUUCUAUAUUUAAUUAUGUAGAUAGUGGAAAAAGUCUUGUGAGCCUUCCCCAGAUAAGUUCUGUAAAGUUUGCCUUAACGCUCCUUGUUCA